rnacentral:rRNA from 1 species
AUGCCUCGCUACGAUGACCGUUACGAUCGCUACGAUGACCGUUAUGAUCGUUACGACGACCGUUAUGAUCGCUAUAAUGACCGUUAUGAUCGGUAUGACCGAUAUGGUGGCAACACCAAGUUGUACGUGGGCCAUCUUUCUACGCACACCCGGACCAAGGAUGUUGAGUACCUUUUCGGCAGAUAUGGGAGAAUACGAUGUGUGGAGCUGAAGUAUGAUUAUGGCUUCGUUGAGUUUAGCGAUCCCCGGGAUGCAGAUGAUGCAAGGUAUGAGCUUGAUGGCCAAGAGAUUGAUGGGAGCCGUAUCAUUGUUGAGUUUGCAAGAGGGAUCCCGCGUGGCCCAGGAGGUUCCCGCGAGUACUUGGGCAGAGGACCCCCUCCUGGUUCUGGCCGCUGCUUUAACUGUGGGAUUGAUGGGCACUGGGCUCGUGACUGCAAUGCUGGCGACUGGAAAAAUAAGUGCUAUCGCUGUGGAGAAAAGGGCCAUAUAGAAAAAAACUGCCAAAACAGUCCUAAGAAUCUCAACUUUUGCAAAUACAGGCGGGGAAGAAGCUACUCACGCUCCCCACCACCUCAUCGCGAAAGGAGCCUAAGCAGGAGUUACAGCCGAUCGCCUUAUCCAAGGAGGGAUGAUCGUGCUGUUGGCCACGAGGAAAGGCGACCAAGAAGCUCUAGUUACAGCCCUAGGAGGAGUGCUUCACCUUCCGGUUUGAACCGCAGCCCAGCACCAAAUGGCAAGAGCCACCCACCAAGGGAGCAAGCUGAAGUCAAUGGUUCACAUAACGGUGUGAGAGGCAACAGCCUGAGUCCUGCCCGCGAUAGCCGCCCCUGGGAGUGA